CAUCCACUAAUCUCAGAGCAAAUUUAGCCCACUCUAUAAAUUUGGCUUCAUAUUCAAUCACACUCAUACUUCUCUGUUUCAAAUAAAUAAACUCUUGCUCUUUCUGAGUUCUUAUGCUCCAAAAAAAAUAUUGAUCAUAAAAUGUGAUCUAGAACCUCUCUCAAGUGAGUCGUUCCCUAUCUUGUUCAUAUUUUCAUUCUAAUCGCUGCCACCAG
rnacentral:lncRNA from 1 species